rnacentral:rRNA from 1 species
ACUUUAAUUGAAGAGUUUGAUCAUGGCUCAGAUUGAACGCUGGCGGCAGGCCUAACACAUGCAAGUCGAGCGGUAACAGAAAGAAAGCUUGCUUUCUUUGCUGACGAGCGGCGGACGGGUGAGUAAUGCCUGGGAAUAUACCCUGAUGUGGGGGAUAACUAUUGGAAACGAUAGCUAAUACCGCAUAAUCUCUUCGGAGCAAAGAGGGGGACCUUCGGGCCUCUC